rnacentral:rRNA from 1 species
AGUGGAAGCGUCUGGAAAGGCGCGCGAUACAGGGUGACAGCCCCGUACACAAAAGCGCAUGUGCUGUGAGCUCGAUGAGUAGGGCGGGACACGUGGUAUCCUGUCUGAAUAUGGGGGGACCAUCCUCCAAGGCUAAAUACUCCUGACUGACCGAUAGUGAACCAGUACCGUGAGGGAAAGGCGAAAAGAACCCCGGCGAGGGGAGUGAAAAAGAACCUGAAACCGUGUACGUACAAGCAGUGGGAGCACCCUUCGGGGUGUGACUGCGUACCUUUUGUAUAAUGGGUCAGCGACUUAUAUUCUGUAGCAAGGUUAACCGUAUAGGGGAGCCGGAGGGAAACCGAGUCUUAACCGGGCGUUAAGUUGCAGGGUAUAGACCCGAAACCCGGUGAUCUAGCCAUGGGCAGGUUGAAGGUUGGGUAACACUAACUGGAGGACCGAACCGACUAAUGUUGAAAAAUUAGCGGAUGACCUGUGGCUGGGGGUGAAAGGCCAAUCAAACCGGGAGAUAGCUGGUUCUCCCCGAAAGCUAUUUAGGUAGCGCCUCGUGAAUUCAUCUCCGGGGGUAGAGCACUGUUUCGGCUAGGGGGCCAUCCCGGCUU